UGGGGAAUAUUGGACAAUGGGCGCAAGCCUGAUCCAGCCAUGCCGCGUGCGGGAAGAAGGCCUUCGGGUUGUAAACCGCUUUUGUCGGGGAAGAAAUCUCUCGGGCUAAUACCUCGGGGGGAUGACGGUACCCGAAGAAUAAGCACCGGCUAACUACGUGCCAGCAGCCGCGGUAAUACGUAGGGUGCGAGCGUUAAUCGGAAUUACUGGGCGUAAAGCGUGCGCAGGCGGUCGUGCAAGACAGAUGUGAAAUCCCCGGGCGCAACCUGGGAACUGCAUUUGUGACUGCACGGCUGGAGUACGGCAGAGGGGGAUGGAAUUCCGCGUGUAGCAGUGAAAUGCGUAGAUAUGCGGAGGAACACCGAUGGCGAGGGCAGUCCCCUGGGCCUGUACUGACGCUCAUGCACGAAAGCGUGGGGAGCAAACA
rnacentral:rRNA from 1 species